rnacentral:sRNA from 1 species
GGAUGGAUUUAGUCUGGUUGGACUUUCUCAGGAAAGGCAGCUGAACUCAUGACUAGUACCAGUUCCAUGGUUCCUGGAUGUUGCAAAUAAAGGCAUCCUCUCUCACUGCCUGUCCACCUUUCUUACCCAGUCAUUGUCCUCCAUGGUGCAGAGAGGUUCAUCCACAGAGCUUGUAAUUCUGAUUGGUGCAACAGUCAGGAAGAGUGAAAGAUGUCAUCUCCCAAGGACAAGUGCUGUGCUAGUGGACACUGAGGAACUUCAGGGAUCAAACCCUUCCCCAUUCUUCUUCAGCCUCUCUUGUUCUUCGUUGAGAUGUUUCCUGAAGAUCUAAAAGAUCCAGGCAAUCCAUGACAUGGGUUUGAACAUAAUCUCGACAUUUUAUUCAUUGCCUGAUAACUAAGACUAGGAAUGGCUCUGCAUGUGGUCAACACACACUACCCUGGAAGACCAGAGAGUUCAAGGACGGCCAACUUUCACUUAAGCAAACUUUUUCACAGAGUGUGUGGGUCCCAUCAGCAGAGAGUAGCCUCCACAUUGCAAUGAUGUGCAAACUUCUGCCUUUCAGCCAUGAUGGACUUUAGGAUCUACCCUGAGGACCCUCCACAAGCCACAGGUGGGUGAUGUGUAAAUUGGGCAUGUUAUUGGGUCAGGUCUUCAGUGCAGUGCCUUAAGCUGACAGCCUUUUGGGAGGGCAUAUGCUUCUCUAUUAAAUGAACUGGUUCCACUGUU